ACUCCUACGGGAGGCAGCAGUGGGGAAUAUUGCACAAUGGGCGCAAGCCUGAUGCAGCCAUGCCGCGUGUGUGAAGAAGGCCUUCGGGUUGUAAAGCACUUUCAGUCGUGAGGAAGGUAGUGUAGUUAAUAGCUGCAUUAUUUGUACGUUAGCGACAGAAGAAGCACCGGCUAACUCCGUGCCAGCAGCCGCGGUAAUACGGAGGGUGCGAGCGUUAAUCGGAAUUACUGGGCGUAAAGCGCAUGCAGGUGGUUUGUUAAGUUCAGAUGUGAAAGCCCGGGGCUCAACCUCGGAAUUGCAUUUGAAACUGGCAGACUAGAGUACUGUAGAGGGGGUAGAAUUUCAGGUGUAGCGGUGAAAUGCGUAGAGAUCUGAAGGAAUACCGGUGGCGAAGGCGGCCCCCUGGACAGAUACUGACACUCAGAUGCGAAAGCGUGGGAGCAAACAGGAUUAGAUACCCCUGGUAGCGACUGA
rnacentral:rRNA from 1 species